rnacentral:rRNA from 1 species
AUACUAGGUGUGGGGGUUUCAACACCUCCGUGCCGCCGCUAACGCAUUAAGUAUUCCGCCUGGGGAGUACGGUCGCAAGAUUAAAACUCAAAGGAAUUGACGGGGACCCGCACAAGUAGCGGAGCAUGUGGUUUAAUUCGAAGCAACGCGAAGAACCUUACCUACACUUGACAUCCCUUGCAUUACUCUUAAUCGAGGAAAUCCCUUCGGGGACAAGGUGACAGGUGGUGCAUGGUUGUCGUCAGCUCGUGUCGUGAGAUGUUGGGUUAAGUCCCGCAACGAGCGCAACCCUUGUCGUUAGUUACUACCAUUAAGUUGAGGACUCUAGCGAGACUGCCUGGGUUAACCAGGAGGAAGGUGGGGAUGACGUCAAAUCAUCAUGCCCCUUAUGUGUAGGGCUACACACGUGCUACAAUGGCUGGUACAGAGAGAUGCAAUACCGUGAGGUGGAGCCAAACUUUAAAACCAGUCUCAGUUCGGAUUGUAGGCUGAAACUCGCCUACAUGAAGCUGGAGUUACUAGUAAUCGCGAAUCAGAAUGUCGCGGUGAAUACGUUCCCGGGUCUUGUACACACCGCCCGUCACACCAUGAGAGUUGGCAAUACCCGAAGUCCGUGAGCUAACCGCAAGGAGGCAGCGGCCGAAGGUAGGGUCAGCGAUUGGGGUGAAGUCGUAACAAGGUAGCCGUAGGAGAACCUGCGGCUGGAUCACCUCCUUUCUA